rnacentral:lncRNA from 1 species
CCCAAGUGCUGGUAUGGUGUUUGUUAAGCCUGGCCUUUGUGAAGCUCCCUGGGGUCUCCCUAGAAAUGCAAGCACACAGCAGAGUGGAUGAGCGAUGUAACAAGCUGUCCCUCCGUGGGGCACGGAGAGACACAGCAGCAAGGAUAGCUCCUGUAUUCUACCAAGUUUCCUGACCAAUUUCCCGCCUCUCAAUGAAGACACUGAGUACCAGGUCGGACUGACUACACAGAUAUUUCUUCAGUUUCUGAAACUUGUCAAGAGUCUUUCCAUAUUUGGAACAUUGCACAUCAGGAUAUAUCUGGUAGCCACCCAGCCUGCCCCCGCCUGACCACAUCCAGAUUUCCAGAGAUGCCCAAGCUGAAAGCCAGACAAGAAGGUGGAGGCUUUCCCUUUAAGAAAAGACUGAACUUGUAGGUCAUCAUUCUUGGCUGGACAUUAAUUAUUGAGUUUAUAUACAACACAUGCAUGCAGAACCCAGAGAGACCAAGAGAAGAAGAUGGAUUUCCCUGGAACUGGAAUUGCAGGCUAACAGAAAUGAGUGACAGCCUCGAGGGACUUGGAAGAUGUAGGGCAAGCUGAUUCCCAUCACAUCACAUCUGAUAAUGCUGAAGACACAUAGAUCCUGAGGAUGACCAACAGUUACCAGAAACCUAAUCAGUGGAAGGACAGCUUUUCCCAUGGACACU